UCGAUUUGGAGUUUGUUGCCUAGAGUGAUGGGCUCCGAAGCUAACGCGAUAAAUCGACCGCCUGGGGAGUACGGCCGCAAGGUUAAAACUCAAAUGAAUUGACGGGGGCCCGCACAAGCGGUGGAGCAUGUGGUUUAAUUCGAUGCAACGCGAAGAACCUUACCUGGUCUUGACAUCCACAGAAUCUUGCAGAGAUGCGAGAGUGCCUUCGGGAACUGUGAGACAGGUGCUGCAUGGCUGUCGUCAGCUCGUGUUGUGAAAUGUUGGGUUAAGUCCCGCAACGAGCGCAACCCUUAUCCUUUGUUGCCAGCGGUUCGGCCGGGAACUCAAAGGAGACUGCCAGUGAUAAACUGGAGGAAGGUGGGGAUGACGUCAAGUCAUCAUGGCCCUUACGAGUAGGGCUACACACGUGCUACAAUGGCGUAUACAAAGAGAAGCGACCUCGCGAGAGCAAGCGGACCUCAUAAAGUACGUCGUAGUCCGGAUUGGAGUCUGCAACUCGACUCCAUGAAGUCGGAAUCGCUAGUAAUCGUAGAUCAGAAUGCUACGGUGAAUACGUUCCCGGGCCU
rnacentral:rRNA from 1 species